rnacentral:rRNA from 1 species
UACAGAGGCCCCAAGCGUUACUGAGAAUCACUGGGUUUAAAGGGUGCGUAGGUGGUCCGUUAAGUUCGUUGUGAAAGCCCUGGGCUCAACCCAGGAACGGCUUCGAAUACUGGCGGACUUGAGGCUAGUAGGGGUCACUGGAACUGACGGUGGAGCGGUGAAAUGCGUAGAUAUCGUCAGGAACGCCAAUGGUGAAGACAGGUGACUGGGCUAGAUCUGACACUGAGGCACGAAAGCGUGGGGAG